CCUACGGGUGGCAGCAGUGGGGAAUAUUGGGCAAUGGAGGAAACUCUGACCCAGCAAUGCCGCGUGAAUGAAGAAGGUCUUCGGAUUGUAAAGUUCUUUAGUCAGGGAAGAAUAAAAUGACGGUACCUGAAGAAUAAGCUCCGGCUACCUACGUGCCAGCAGCCGCGGUAAUACGUAGGGAGCAAGCGUUGUUCGGAAUGACUGGGCGUAAAGGGUGCGUAGGCGGUUAUACAAGUUAGAAGUGAAAUACCCAGGGCUUAACUCGGGUGCUGCUUCUAAAACUGUAAGACUUGAGUGCAGUAGAGGUUAGUGGAAUUCCUAGUGUAGCGGUGGAAUGCGUAGAUAUUAGGAGGAACACCGAUUGCGAAGGCAGCCUACUAAACUGCCACUGACAUUGAUGCUCGAAAGUGUGGGUAUCAAACAGGAUUAGAUACCCCAGUAGUC
rnacentral:rRNA from 1 species